UGAGGAAUAUUGGUCAAUGGACGCAAGUCUGAACCAGCCAAGUAGCGUGCAGGAUGACGGCCCUAUGGGUUGUAAACUGCUUUUAUAUGGGGAUAAAGUGGGGAACGUGUUCCCUUUUGCAGGUACCAUAUGAAUAAGGACCGGCUAAUUCCGUGCCAGCAGCCGCGGUAAUACGGAAGGUUCGGGCGUUAUCCGGCUUUAUUGGGCGUAAAGCGCGCGCAGGUGGUUUAGAAAGUCUGAUGUGAAAGCCCACGGCUCAACCGUGGAGGGUCAUUGGAAACUAAUCAACUUGAGUGCAGGAGAGAAAAGUGGAAUUCCUAGUGUAGCGGUGAAAUGCGUAGAGAUUAGGAGGAACACCGGUAGCGAAAGCGGCUUUUUGGCCUGCAACUGACACUGAGGCGCGAAAGCGUGGGGAGCAAACAGG
rnacentral:rRNA from 1 species